UACGUAGGUGGCAAGCGUUGUCCGGAUUUACUGGGCGUAAAGAGCGCGCAGGCGGUCGUUCAAGUCGCGUGUGAAAGCCCCCGGCUCAACUGGGGAGGGUCACGCGAUACUGAUCGACUGGAAGGCAGGAGAGGGUAGUGGAAUUCCCGGUGUAGUGGUGAAAUGCGUAGAGAUCGGCAGGAACAGCCCAGGGGAACCAGUGGACUGGGCAUGUGCUGACGCUCAGGUGCGAAAGCGUGGGGAGCGAACCGG
rnacentral:rRNA from 1 species